UACAGAGGGUGCGAGCGUUAAUCGGAAUUACUGGGCGUAAAGCGCACGUAGGCGGCUUUGCAAGUCGGGUGUGAAAUCCCCGGGCUCAACCUGGGAACUGCAUCCGAGACUGCAUUGCUCGAGUAUGGGAGAGGGAAGUGGAAUUUCCGGUGUAGCGGUGAAAUGCGUAGAUAUCGGAAGGAGCAUCAGUGGCGAAGGCGACUUCCUGGACCAAUACUGACGCUCAGGUGCGAAAGCGUGGGGAGCAAACAGG
rnacentral:rRNA from 1 species